rnacentral:rRNA from 1 species
ACUCAAAUGAAUUGACGGGGACCCGCACAAGCAGCGGAGCGUGUGGUUUAAUUCGAGGCUACGCGAAGAACCUUACCAGGGUUUGACAUGCAAGUAGUAGUGAAGCGAAAGCGGAACGACCCUUCGGGGAGCUUGCACAGGUGAUGCAUGGCUGUCGUCAGCUCGUGCCGUGAGGUGUUUGGUUAAGUCCACUAACGAGCGCAACCCUUAGCGUCAGUUACAUGUGUCUGGCGCGACUGCCGGUAUUAAGCCGGAGGAAGGUGGGGAUGAUGUCAAGUCAGCAUGUCCUUUAUAUCCUGGGCUACACACACGCUACAAUGGCCAGCACAAUGGGUUGCCAAGCCGCGAGGCGGAGCCAAUCCUAGAAAACUGGUCUCAGUUCGGAUUGUAGGCUGCAACCCGCCUACAUGAAGUCGGAGUUGCUAGUAAACGCAGGACAGCUAUACUGCGUUGAAUACGUUCCCGGGUCUUGUACACACCGCCCGU